GUAAUUAGAAUGUCCGUAAUGCACGCGAUAUGUCAAAAUCCGACCGUGAAUAUAUGAGCUGACGCGGCAUACACGGUCAUAAAUUCUUGCGUUGGCAGGCAGUGAACUGGCGUCAAUGGUGCUUCGUCGAUGACCAAGUGGAAACGAGAGAGACGAUGUUGACAGAGCAAAGCAGAAAAUCAAGUAGCUAGAGAGACGAACAGAGAUGGGUGAACGCGAUCGAGCGGCCGAGAAGGGAUGUCGGGAAGCGUAUAGGAUCGCGUGUACGCUAGAAGGAAGAGAAGAGAAGAGAAGAGGAUCAGCUCGCGCGUCGCUAUACCGAGAUUCGCGAACGUAUGAGCAACUGCGUGUACGCACACAAGAGACACGGUUCGAGUCUGGCGAUAUGGCUGCAGGCCGGUCGCUGUGACGCGGUGGACCACGCCGGAGAUACUGGGGGAUAGUCGGUGACGGACUGCCGGACAUCCGACCUGUUACCCCCUCGAGCGUCCUCCACAUCAGCCGCCUCCUCUCGCGCCUCCUCUUCCCCAACUUCCUACCCCCUUUCGACUGGUAGCGAGCGGAACGUUGCCCGACAACGUCCUCUCUACUCGCGUCCCUUCAUCUCCAAUAGCUGAUUCCUGGUUGGUACGCCGUAACUGCGUGUGCUCCAGUUGAUCGGUCAAUCGAAUCGCUACGAUCUAUCUGCGGACGAUCACGGCCCUUCAGUCUGGUUACGUCGAUGUUUCGACUAGUCAGGAUGUCAGAUAAAUUGUACAAAUGAUUUUGGAAUCAGCUUAUGUCUCGCGUGCACACGUGCUUCUGCGAUAUCAACUAUCCCUUCAAACUUAAUACAAUGCCAAACUCACUGAAUCCUGAAAUUAAUUUUCCCCCGUGAGAUUCCCCCUCUUAACGUUUUUAGCCACGCCUUACACAUUUAUGCUUUCUUUAUAGAUUUGUAAAAUGUCUACUUCAUCUUGGAAUUUUUCGUUAAAUUGCCGAAUAUGCGGCAUACAAGCAGAAGAGCAGGCACGGAACAGCUAUUUUAAUUAAUAUCGUAAACAUCGUUGAUUAAUAUUUUU